GCGCACGUGGUGUAACUGAAAACGCACUGGAUUCGUAUUCCAGAGGGCCGGAGUUCGAACCACGGCGAGAGCA
rnacentral:tRNA from 1 species